AACCGAGAUUCCCCCAGUAGCGGCGAGCGAACGGGGAGGAGCCCAGAGCCUGAAUCAGUGUGUGUGUUAGUGGAAGCGUCUGGAAAGGCGCGCGAUACAGGGUGACAGCCCCGUACACAAAAAUGCACAUACUGUGAGCUCGAUGAGUAGGGCGGGACACGUGGUAUCCUGUCUGAAUAUGGGGGGACCAUCCUCCAAGGCUAAAUACUCCUGACUGACCGAUAGUGAACCAGUACCGUGAGGGAAAGGCGAAAAGAACCCCGGCGAGGGGAGUGAAAAAGAACCUGAAACCGUGUACGUACAAGCAGUGGGAGCCUCUUAAUGGGGUGACUGCGUACCUUUUGUAUAAUGGGUCAGCGACUUAUAUUCUGUAGCAAGGUUAACCGAAUAGGGGAGCCGAAGGGAAACCGAGUCUUAACUGGGCGUUAAGUUGCAGGGUAUAGACCCGAAACCCGGUGAUCUAGCCAUGGGCAGGUUGAAGGUUGGGUAACACUAACUGGAGGACCGAACCGACUAAUGUUGAAAAAUUAGCGGAUGACUUGUGGCUGGGGGUGAAAGGCCAAUCAAACCGGGAGAUAGCUGGUUCUCCCCGAAAGCUAUUUAGGUAGCGCCUCGUGAAUUCAUCUCCGGGGGUAGAGCACUGUUUCGGCAAGGGGGUCAUCCCGACUUACCAACCCGAUGCAAACUGCGAAUACCGGAGAAUGUUAUCACGGGAGACACACGGCGGGUGCUAACGUCCGUCGUGAAGAGGGAAACAACCCAGACCGCCAGCUAAGGUCCCAAAGUCAUGGUUAAGUGGGAAACGAUGUGGGAAGGCCCAGACAGCCAGGAUGUUGGCUUAGAAGCAGCCAUCAUUUAAAGAAAGCGUAAUAGCUCACUGGUCGAGUCGGCCUGCGCGGAAGAUGUAACGGGGCUAAACCAUGCACCGAAGCUGCGGCAGCGACGCUUAUGCGUUGUUGGGUAGGGGAGCGUUCUGUAAGCCUGUGAAGGUGGACUGUGAGGUAUGCUGGAGGUAUCAGAAGUGCGAAUGCUGACAUAAGUAACGAUAAAGCGGGUGAAAAGCCCGCUCGCCGGAAGACCAAGGGUUCCUGUCCAACGUUAAUCGGGGCAGGGUGAGUCGACCCCUAAGGCGAGGCCGAAAGGCGUAGUCGAUGGGAAACAGGUUAAUAUUCCUGUACUUGGUGUUACUGCGAAGGGGGGACGGAGAAGGCUAUGUUGGCCGGGCGACGGUUGUCCCGGUUUAAGCGUGUAGGCUGGUUUUCCAGGCAAAUCCGGAAAAUCAAGGCUGAGGCGUGAUGACGAGGCACUACGGUGCUGAAGCGACAAAUGCCCUGCUUCCAGGAAAAGCCUCUAAGCAUCAGGUAACAUCAAAUCGUACCCCAAACCGACACAGGUGGUCAGGUAGAGAAUACCAAGGCGCUUGAGAGAACUCGGGUGAAGGAACUAGGCAAAAUGGUGCCGUAACUUCGGGAGAAGGCACGCUGAUAUGUAGGUGAAGCGACUUGCUCGUGGAGCUGAAAUCAGUCGAAGAUACCAGCUGGCUGCAACUGUUUAUUAAAAACACAGCACUGUGCAAACACGAAAGUGGACGUAUACGGUGUGACGCCUGCCCGGUGCCGGAAGGUUAAUUGAUGGGGUUAGCGGUAACGCGAAGCUCUUGAUCGAAGCCCCGGUAAACGGCGGCCGUAACUAUAACGGUCCUAAGGUAGCGAAAUUCCUUGUCGGGUAAGUUCCGACCUGCACGAAUGGCGUAAUGAUGGCCAGGCUGUCUCCACCCGAGACUCAGUGAAAUUGAACUCGCUGUGAAGAUGCAGUGUACCCGCGGCAAGACGGAAAGACCCCGUGAACCUUUACUAUAGCUUGACACUGAACAUUGAGCCUUGAUGUGUAGGAUAGGUGGGAGGCUUUGAAGUGUGGACGCCAGUCUGCAUGGAGCCGACCUUGAAAUACCACCCUUUAAUGUUUGAUGUUCUAACGUUGGCCCCUAAUCGGGGUUGCGGACAGUGUCUGGUGGGUAGUUUGACUGGGGCGGUCUCCUCCUAAAGAGUAACGGAGGAGCACGAAGGUUGGCUAAUCCUGGUCGGACAUCAGGAGGUUAGUGCAAUGGCAUAAGCCAGCUUGACUGCGAGCGUGACGGCGCGAGCAGGUGCGAAAGCAGGUCAUAGUGAUCCGGUGGUUCUGAAUGGAAGGGCCAUCGCUCAACGGAUAAAAGGUACUCCGG
rnacentral:rRNA from 1 species